GCCUUCGUGGUGUACCGGUUAGCACACUCGGCGCGUAUUCGAGAGGUCCAGGUUCGAGUCCCGGAGAGGGCA
rnacentral:tRNA from 1 species